rnacentral:lncRNA from 1 species
CUUAGAAUGUUUAUGCAGUACUCUUCAGCCACAAAGACUCUCAAAUCAUCUUACAAAUUAUUCAUUUGACAAUUCUCUGCCCUCAGGUUUGCAAUCUAAAUAAGACCCAAGGGUUGGGUUUAUUUGGGGUUCAGGACCUUGGAUAGCUCAUUUCAAUUUCAGAUUGGAGUGGAUCUACUAUCCUGCUGACAUGGCAGCUACCAAAUGUCACUGCUUAAUGCUCCAUGGCUUGAAAAUAAUGGAUAUCUACCAAAACGUACUUCCAGCUUUGUCUGAUACACCAACUAUGCCCAUGCUUAGAAUUGGAAAGUUCUAUGGCCUUGCUCCAAGUGUCCAAGUUUCUGGAUUGUGUGUCUUGUUCAUGUUUCCUUGAUUAAGUUUCAAGUUUCUGUAAUUCCUGUUUAGGUCUUCAUGGUUUUUGGCUGUAUUAUGCUCUGUUUUUGUUCUCAGAUUUUGGAUAUAAGUUUGAUCAAGUGUAUGGAUUUACAGUUUUCAGCUGCCCGAAAACUGUGGAAUGACCUGCCAGCUAGAUUAAUUAGAUCAGCUAGAUCGGCCUACAGUCAGUUUUAAGUUGUGAAUUUCAACCUGUAUUUUAUCAGUAAAAUUUAAUCUGCAUUUUACCUGUGUGUUUUGUCAUAUGUAUUUUAAUAGUGCUUUACAAACUUCACUGUUUUAACCAUGUUGUACUCUGCCUCAAACUACAAGGAGAGGCAAGAAAUUAAUAAUAAUAAUAAUAAUAAUAAUAAUAAUAAUAAUAAUAAUAAUAAUACGGUUUUCCUUCAUCUAGGCAGUGCUUUUCCACCACAAGGGAACCACAGUCUGGCACACACAGUGGACCAGGCUUACAGUAGGACGAAGGAAACCUGAGCAUUUCACCUGCCGAGGGUUUUUGCCAAGGCAUUCCAGAGAACUAACACAGAAAACACCUGCAGUUCAGGUAGGUGUUGCUUGUGGUUCCUUUAAGAAGGACUCAAGACAGUAGUCUAAGCUUUCUGUAUCUUAAAUCCCUCUCUGUUGAAGUCUCUGUGGUCUCACAUGAUAGAAAAAGGCUUAUUUUUCUC